rfam:Ixodes scapularis strain Wikel colony gcontig_1108378930758, whole genome shotgun sequence.
UCCUGGUUAGUUCAGUUGGUAUACAGCUCCACUGGAAAUGGAGAGGUCCCUGGUACGAUACCAGGACUAGGGG